rnacentral:rRNA from 1 species
UGGGGAAUUUUGGACAAUGGGCGAAAGCCUGAUCCAGCAAUGCCGCGUGUGUGAAGAAGGCCUUCGGGUUGUAAAGCACUUUUGUCCGGAAAGAAAUCCUUGGCUCUAAUACAGUCGGGGGAUGACGGUACCGGAAGAAUAAGCACCGGCUAACUACGUGCCAGCAGCCGCGGUAAUACGUAGGGUGCAAGCGUUAAUCGGAAUUACUGGGCGUAAAGCGUGCGCAGGCGGUUUGCUAAGACCGAUGUGAAAUCCCCGGGCUCAACCUGGGAACUGCAUUGGUGACUGGGCAGGCUAGAGUAUGGCAGAGGGGGGUAGAAUUCCACGUGUAGCAGUGAAAUGCGUAGAGAUGUGGAGGAAUACCGAUGGCGAAGGCAGCCCCCUGGCAAGUACUGACGCUCAUGCACGAAAGCGUGGGGGAGCAAAACAGGAUUAGAUACCCUGGUAGUCCACGCCCUAAANGAUGUCAACUAGUUGUUGGGGGAUUCAUUUCCUUAGUAACGUAGCUAACGCGUGAAGUUGACCGCCUGGGGGAGUACGGUCGCAAGAUUAAAACUCAAAUAAUUGAC